AUCGAACGCUGGCGGCAGGCCUAACACAUGCAAGUCGAACGAGUGGCGGACGGGUGAGUAGUGUCUGGGAAACUGCCUGAAGGAAGGGGAUCAUUACUGGAAACGGUAGAUAAUACCGCAUACCACCGGAUGUGACCUGAUGGGAUUAGCGAGUCGGUGGGGUAACGGCUCACCUAGGCGACGAUCCCUAGCUGGUCUGAGAGGCUGAUCAUCCGCACUAGGACUGAGACACGGCCCAGACUCCUACGGGAGGCAGCAGUGGUGAGUAUUGGACAAGUGGCGAACAACUGAUGGAGCCAAGCGGCGUGAAUGAAGAAGUCCUUAGGGUUGUAAAGUACUGUCAGGUGAGAAGCGUUACUCACAGAAGAAGCGCCGGCUAACUCCGUGCCAGGAGCCGCGGUAAUUC
rnacentral:rRNA from 1 species